rnacentral:rRNA from 1 species
AACGAACGCUGGCGGCGUGGAUAAGACAUGCAAGUCGAACGCUAAUUUCAGGGUAGCAAUAUUUUGAAGUUGGAGUGGCGCAAGGGUGCUUAACACGUGGGUUAUCUGCCAUGAAGUCUGGGAUAACUCGCUGAAAGGCGAGCUAAUACCGGAUGUGCUCGUGAGAUCAAAGUUGGGGACCGCAAGGCCUGACGCUUCAUGAUGAGCCCGCGGCCUAUCAGCUAGUUGGUGGGGUAAUGGCUCACCAAGGCUAAGACGGGUAGCUGGUCUGAGAGGACGACCAGCCACACUGGAACUGAGACACGGUCCAGACACCUACGGGUGGCAGCAGUCGAGAAUUUUUCUCAAUGGGCGAAAGCCUGAAGGAGCGACGCCGCGUGGGGGAUGAAUGGCUUCGGCCCGUAAACCCCUGUCAUUUGCGAACAAAUUGACUCAAUUAACACUUGUGUCAUUGAUUGUAGCGGAAGAGGAAGGGACGGCUAACUCUGUGCCAGCCGCCGCCGUAAGAC